rnacentral:rRNA from 1 species
AAUGGCCUAACGGCCGAACCAGCAACUUGGAGGAAUGUAUAGCGAAAGCUAGUUGCAUUAACUAACUGUUAAUGCAGCAGCGACUAUGUCGUGUAAAGUUCAGGGUAGAGUUAUGAUUAUGACAUUUUCUAUCUGUGUGUCUCGACCAAACUACGUGCCAGCAGUCGCGGUAAUACGUUGGAGACUAGUGUUAUUCGUCUUUAGUAGGUUUAAAGGGUACCUAGACGGUUAUUUCAGCCCCCAAAGGGUACUGAAAGUACUAGAGUUUUAUGAGAGAGGGGGUGUACUAAUGGAGGAGAGAUGAAAUUCAGUUAUACCAUUAUGAACAGGCAACAGCGAAGGCAACCCUUUAUGUGUAAACUGACGUUGAAGGACGAAGGCUCAGUCAACCAACAGGAUUAGAUACCCUAGCAGUCUGAGCAGACAAUGAUGAAUGUCAUAGACUGGAAUAAUAAAUUAUUAUAAUUUACAUAUAUAUAUAAUUAUAUAUGGGAAAACAUUUUUAUGUUUUUUUUAAAUUAAGUCUAUAAAUUAAAGUGUAAGCAUUCCACCUCAAGAGUAACGUGGCAACGCAGGAACUGAAAUCAUUAGACCGUUUCUGAAACCAGUAGUGAAGUAUGUUGUUUAAUUUGAUGAUCCGCGGUACACCUUACCACAAUUUGUAUGUUUAGUAAUAAAUACAAGAGUUGCACGGCUGUCUUCAGUUAAUGUCGUGAGAUUUUGGUUAGUUCCAUUAAAUUAACGUAAACCCUUACUUUAUUUUAGUAAAUAGAGUAGUUCACCGCUAUAUUGGAAUAUGAUAAUAGGGACUAAGACAAGUCAUCAUGGCCCGAACAUUGUGGGCUAUAGACGUGCCACAUGCGCCUAUACAAAGGGAUGCGAAAUUGUGAAAUUGAGCUAAUCCCUAAAAUAGGAUAGAAAAU